UCUUGGUUCAGGACGAACGCUGGCGGCGUGCCUAACACAUGCAAGUCGAGCGAGGAGAUUCCCUUCGGGGAUGAACCUAGCGGCGGACGGGUGAGUAACACGUGGGCAACCUGCCUUAUAGAGGGGAAUAGCCUUCCGAAAGGAAGAUUAAUACCGCAUAACAUUACAUUUUCGCAUGAAGAAGUAAUUAAAGGAGCAAUCCGCUAUAAGAUGGGCCCGCGGCGCAUUAGCUAGUUGGUGAGGUAACGGCUCACCAAGGCGACGAUGCGUAGCCGACCUGAGAGGGUGAUCGGCCACAUUGGGACUGAGACACGGCCCAGACUCCUACGGGAGGCAGCAGUGGGGAAUAUUGCACAAUGGGGGAAACCCUGAUGCAAGCAACGCCGCGUGAGUGAUGAAGGUCUUCGGAUCGUAAAGCUCUGUCUUCAGGGACGAUAAUGACGGUACCUGAGGAGGAAGCCACGGCUAACUACGUGCCAGCCGCUGC
rnacentral:rRNA from 1 species